UCCAGUCUGCUCACUGAAAUUUUAAAGAGCCGCAGUAUCUUGACUGUGCAAAGGUAGCAUAAUCAAUAGUUUUUUAAUUGAAAACUUGUAUGAAAGAUUAGACGAGAAAUUUAUUUUCUUUAUUUUAAAUAAUUAAAUUUUAAUUUUAAGUGAAAAUGCUUAAAUAACUUUAAAAGACGAGAAGACCCUAUAGAUUUUUAUUAUUUAAAUAAAUUUUAUAAAAAAUUUAAUACAUUAAUUUCAUUGGGGUGAUUUUGUAAUAAAAAAAACUUAAUUUAUUUAAACCAUAAGUAAUUGAAAUUUUAGAUCUAAAAUUUUUAAAGAAAAGAUUAAAUUACCUUAGGGAUAACAGCGUAAUUUUUUUUAAGAGUUCAUAUCUAUAAAAAAGUUUGCGACCUCGAUGUUGAAUUAAGAU
rnacentral:rRNA from 1 species